rnacentral:rRNA from 1 species
CGGGUGAGUAACGCGUGAGUAACCUGCCUUACACAAGGGGAUAGCCAUUGGAAACGACGAAUAAUACCCUAUGAAACUAUCACUUCGCAUGAAGCGAUAGUCAAAGUGUUAGCGGUGUAAGAUGGACUUGCGUCUGAUUAGCUAGUUGGUGAGAAAAAAGCCCACCAAGGCAACGAUCAGUAGCCGGCUUGAGAGAGUGUACGGCCACAUUGGGACUGAGACACGGCCCAG